rnacentral:rRNA from 1 species
UGAGGAAUAUUGCACAAUGGGCGCAAGCCUGAUGCAGCGACGCCGCGUGGGUGAAGAAGGUCUUCGGAUCGUAAAGCCCUUUUCCGCGUGACGAGACAGGACGGUAGCGCAGGAAUAAGUCUCGGCUAACUACGUG